rnacentral:rRNA from 1 species
UGGGGAAUAUUGCACAAUGGGCGAAAGCCUGAUGCAGCAACGCCGCGUGAGUGAUGAAGGUCUUCGGAUUGUAAAGCUCUGUCUUUUGGGACGAUAAUGACGGUACCAAAGGAGGAAGCCACGGCUAACUACGUGCCAGCAGCCGCGGUAAUACGUAGGUGGCGAGCGUUGUCCGGAUUUACUGGGCGUAAAGGGUGCGUAGGCGGAUGUUUAAGUGAGAUGUGAAAUACCCGGGCUUAACUUGGGUGCUGCAUUUCAAACUGGAUAUCUAGAGUGCAGGAGAGGAGAAUGGAAUUCCUAGUGUAGCGGUGAAAUGCGUAGAGAUUAGGAAGAACACCAGUGGCGAAGGCGAUUCUCUGGACUGUAACUGACGCUGAGGCACGAAAAGCGUGGGUAGCAAACAGGAUUAGAUACCCUGGUAGUCCACGCCGUAAAACGAUGAGUACUAGGUGUAGGAGGUAUCGACCCCUUCUGUGCCGCAGUAAAACACAUUAAAGUACUCCGCCUGGGAAGUACGAUCGCAAGAUUAAAAACUCU